rnacentral:rRNA from 1 species
GAUCAGCCACACUGGGACUGAGACACGGCCCAGACUCCUACGGGAGGCAGCAGUGGGAAUAUUGCACAAUGGGCGGAAGCCUGAUGCAGCAACGCCGCGUGCGGGAUGACGGCCUUCGGGUUGUAAACCGCUUUCGCCUGUGACGAAGCGUGAGUGACGGUAAUGGGUAAAGAAGCACCGGCUAACUACGUGCCAGCAGCCGCGGUGAUACGUAGGGUGCGAGCGUUGUCCGGAUUUAUUGGGCGUAAAGGGCUCGUAGGUGGUUGAUCGCGUCGGAAGUGUAAUCUUGGGGCUUAACCCUGAGCGUGCUUUCGAUACGGGUUGACUUGAGGAAGGUAGGGGAGAAUGGAAUUCCUGGUGGAGCGGUGGAAUGCGCAGAUAUCAGGAGGAACACCAGUGGCGAAGGCGGUUCUCUGGGCCUUUCCUGACGCUGAGGAGCGAAAGCGUGGGGAGCGAACAGGCUUAGAUACCCUGGUAGUCCACGCUGUAAACGGUGGGUACUAGGUGUGGGGUCCAUUCCACGGGUUCCGUGCCGUAGCUAACGCUUUAAGUACCCCGCCUGGGGAGUACGGCCGCAAGGCUAAAACUCAAAGGAAUUGACGGGGCCCCGCACAAGCGGCGGAGCAUGCGGAUUAAUUCGAUGCAACGCGUAGAACCUUACCUGGGUUUGACAUGGAUCGGGAGUGCUCAGAGAUGGGUGUGCCUCUUUUGGGGUCGGUUCACAGGUGGUGCAUGGCUGUCGUCAGCUCGUGUCGUGAGAUGUUGGGUUAAGUCCCGCAAC